rnacentral:lncRNA from 1 species
GGCUGGUUCUCCUCCUCCCACAUGCGUCUUUCCUGCUUGUUGACUUGCAUUGGACUGAUUUAGAACCAUGUUUGAUGCAUCUAGACUGGCAAGCCCAAGACGGAAGAAUCUGUGGAGAUGAGACUGUGAUGUGACUUCCGAAGAUAAGGAAGAGAUGGCUUGAAAGUAUGGCAUCACUUUGGUAUUUAGUGCAGUGAUGGGAUUGUCAUCACACUCAAUGUUUUGUAGCUGUUCCUGGUGCCUAGGGGAUAUUUAGCGAAGGCAAGGGAAAGGGAAGAUUUCAAGCAACAGACGGAUGGGAAGCCUUGAAAAUUUCGCCAAACCCGCCAGGUCAGAGUGGGGCAGCACAGGUUAGAUGCUUCAUUCUGUUGCUGAUGAUUCCCUGACAGAAGUUCUCGUUUGGGAUUCACUAUUGCUAGUUUAAAAUUUGUUCUUUUGACAUUAUUCUUUAUACUUUGAUGCCAUUGCUUUUGUACAUAAAUAAAUUUGUCUUUUCUAUUGUACCCUUUUGGGACGUUGCACAUUGAUAAAGAACCUAGAAGAGAACAUUUAGCCAAUCAUGCAACAGGCAGUGCUAAAAGAGCCUUCCAGGGAACACACAGUUCCAUUUUCCUCCGAAAAGCUAGAAACAGACUGAAUGUUGGUAUCAAUUUUUAAAUGGUUUUAAAAAUGGUUAGUUUCAGAAUUCUGAAGAAGUAUUCCUUAAUUUUUAUCUUUUAGCACAAUGAUAAAUGUCAGUGUUGUACUUAUUACUUUUAUGGCAAUAUUCCAUUUUUCUAUAACAUUGUUCUCUAAUUUUUUAUGACAUCAUAGGACACAAGCAGUAAAAACCUGCUAUUUCAUGUUACUCCCUUUCUUUGUUUCUCCUUUCAACUUGCAACCAUGAAAAUGUUGACUACUUGACAAAUUGGACUUUUAAAAAAACUCCAAGUCCCUCGCAUUCCUGUUUCUCGUGUUUCUUUGGUUAAAGCUUGGAAGCCGUUUGCAAUGGAAAGAGGCUGAGAUUUUAGAGGAAGGGGUUCAAACUCUUGCUCCUCCAUUCAAGACUUUUGUUGAGGAGCCGGCCUGGUGGCGCAGCGGUUAAGUUCGCACGUUCUGCUUCUCAGCGGCCCGGGGUUGGCCGGUUCGGAUCCUGGGUGUGGACAUGGCACCGCUUGGCACACCAUGCUGUGCCUUCAAGUCCUCAUCUGUAAAAGGAAAAAGAACAGGAGAACUCCUGGAAGGUCCAUACCAGACGCUGCAGACACUUGCUCAGUUGCCUGCGGAUGGAUUUGCUCUGGCUGCGGGCACCAGGCUAAAUGCUUUACCCGGGACUCCUUCUUUGCUCGUCACCACCAUUUUGCAAGGGAGCAGCUGUUCGCCCCAUAUUACUGAUAAGAGACCAAGAUGAGUUAAGAAACUUGAUCAAGAUCACACCGUUAUGCGUCUAAGUGGCAGUAAGAACUUGUUUCACAGGAUGUCUCAGAUAGAUGCUAAUAAAGCCUUUUGGAUACAUAAAGGAAUAAAUUAUGGUUAAUCUCUACUUCAAAAUGAAAAAGAACUGAAAGGAAAUGGAAAGAAAGAAAAUUUUAACUAC